rnacentral:rRNA from 1 species
AUGUCUUUCACCGGCACGCAGGACAAGUGCAAGACGUGCGACAAGACCGUCCAUUUCAUCGACCUCCUCACCGCCGACGGCGUCUCCUACCACAAGACAUGCUUCAAGUGCAGCCACUGCAAGGGGACCCUCUCGAUGUGCAACUACUCUUCCAUGGAUGGUGUUCUCUACUGCAAGACCCAUUUCGAACAGCUCUUCAAGGAGACGGGCAACUUCUCAAAGAAUUUUACGCCAGGUGGCAAAUCCGCAGAGAAGGGCGAGGCAAAAGCUCCAAGCAAGAUGUCAUCUGCCUUCUCUGGAACUCAAGAUAAAUGCGCGGCCUGCCAAAAGACCGUGUACCCAUUGGAGAAGCUUACUCUGGAGGGCGAAUGCUACCAUAAGAGCUGCUUCAAGUGCUCGCAUGGUGGCUGCAUCCUGACGACCUCCUCGUACGCCGCGCUCAACGGAAUCCUCUACUGCAAGAUCCAUUUCUCACAGCUGUUCAAGGAGAAGGGAAGCUACAACCAUCUCAUCAAGACCGCGCAAACAAAGAAGGAGAGCGUGGAGGCUGCGGCUGCAGCAGAGGCAGCGGCGGAGGCACCUGCAGCAGCAGAGCCGGAAGCGGCCCCGCAAGAUGAAGCAUAG